UAAAUAGCGGCAGCGCGCAGUCGGCCAGCUAUCGGCCGGUUCGUGAGAGCGCGCUGGCAGCGCUUUGCAAUUCCCUCUCGAUCGUGUGCCGUGUACCCUUCGUGAGUUGUUGAUCGAGAGUAAGCUCGGACACUGUAGGUAGAAAGCCUGAAACUCGUUUGGUAUCUCGUCAGACCAUUACUUCGCCGAGUGCUAAAUUUUUUAGUGUGUAUCGUGUAGUGCAACCGUAAACCAUUAUGAAUACUGUCCGAUUCCUUUAGAAGAACUUGUAUCCUGACUCUUAACGAAGAUACGUGGAACUGAAGGAGGAUAUCCAUACCUAAUUCGAAGCUUUACGUCGCGUUUGUUAGAGGAGCUUAUAACAUUCCAGUACUGGGCAUAGGCCUCUUUCUCGAUGUGGGAGAAGGGUCUUUUUUCAUGCGGGGAAAAUAUAUUUUAUAAAUAAUAAUUUAAAUAUUGUUUUUCGUAAAAGUCGAAGGAUUUUUUCUGAUUAAAAUAACAUCGAAUAGUCUUUUCAAGUCGGAUGGGGCGGAAACGUGUGUCACGAUGAGCUAGCGGUAUGGUGGGCGAGGGGGCGGGCCGCGGCGCCGCGCGCUGGCACGUGGGCG
rnacentral:misc_RNA from 1 species